GUCCUCGUGGAGUAGUGUAACUCACUCCCACAUUCUUGAUAGAGCAUAUUGCCACGGGAGAGCCGGUGGUUCGAAUCCACUCGAAGACA